rnacentral:lncRNA from 1 species
GGCACCUGCUUCUUGACUACUUUAGCAGCAGAGCUGAAAAGGGCGUUUCUUUCUAGGCAUGUGAUUUUUCAUUGAUGAUGUUGAACAACUCCUCUUCUUGCUACCUGUAGUCUCUGUGAAUGUCACUCUUGGAUCAUGGUCAUGCUCCCCAAGGCCUUCCCCACCAGGACCUUGCUUGAGAAUAAUACAAGUGGUGGGGAAGUGGGGCCGCACCAUGCUGGGAAGCAGGUCCAAGUUAGCAGAGGUACCUGGGGCUAGGACUCCACCAUCUCUUUCUGUGCAACGGAAGGGAGACAGCAACAUGAAGCAGAUUUGA